ACAGAUGUGAUGAAGGGUUUCCACAACAUCCCACCAGCUGCUGCAGUCCUAAUGCCGCUUACUUUUGGCCCAUUUAGUCGCACAGAGUUAUACCAGCUGUUCAGUUGUGACCCAAAGUGGAGGUUGUGCCCAUGUGUGAAAAACAGAAUAGGAUGGAGGGAGAUAAAAGAGAACACAUCUGAGGCCAUAGUUAAUCUUUUAAAGGAUGGGGGGCUUUCUAGUCCGACCCCCCUAGACCUGUUGGCUGGCUGUACCACCCCUGGCAUCACUAGACACUGUUGGCAAUAACUGCCAUGAAUCUGUUACAUCACUCUGGGGGGAUUCUGACCCACUCUUCUUUGCCAUUCAGCUACAAUGAAGGCUUUCUGAGCAUAAUUGUCCUGGUUAGGGUCAUGUCACAGUUUCUCAGUCUGAUACAAGUUAAUACGUCGACUAGGUCAUCCCAGAACCUUUUUUGAGAACUUGAGUUGUACACCCUAGUGUAGUUGGGCUUAAGGUCAUGAACUGAUAGCCAGACAUUCUCCUUCAGGAUUUUGAGUUAGAAAGCAGGAUUCAGUCAGACAGUAAAGCAGUCCCAGACCACCACACUACCACCACCCACUGGUUUGAUUGUUGAGCUCUUCUUUUUCUAAAAUGCAGUUAGUUUUACUCCAGAUGUUACGGCAUUCCUGAUAAAUACUUCCUGUCAGUCCACAGAAUAAUUCCUGUCAACUGAAGUCUUUACUGUUUAAUCAUGAAUACUGACUGUAAUGAAGACCAGGAGUCCCAUUACUUCAUGACGUGAUUACUGAUGUUAUACGUGAUGAAGUUACAGACCACACAUUUGAGUUGUUUGAUUUCUUUAUUGUACGUAGUUCUGUUCACACAUUUUUAGACGCUUUCUGGAGAAGCAGGGGGACUGGCCAACCUUUCGGUAUAAAGAGAUUGCUGAUCCAAAUGUCAAUUUUUGUUGCCUUAGAUUUCUGUUUAUUUAGCAUCCUAGUUUAACAAUAAAUCUGUUCUGUAGAAAGCACUUACCUCUUCCUGGUUUGACUCCUCAGCAGGGUGUGGCAAUUAAAGGGAGGGACAUGCUCCAAGUGUUACAUGAAAGCUGUUGGAGCAAACCACUGGGAUCAGCAAGGACAGACUGGUUAUAAAAGGCAGACAGUUGCUUUCGGUGUAUACAUGAUCUGUGGUUGGACAAUAAAUCCACCUCAAACACCUCAUUUCAUCGUCAUGCCUCUCCAUUAAACGCUGAAGCUCCGCUGGUCAAACCUGACACGGACAUUAAGUGAGGCCUGCAGUGCUUUAGAUGUUGCUCCUGGUUCCUUCGUGACUUUCUGAAUGAGUUGUCAGUGGAGUAAUGUUGUUAUGGUGGCAGCUCCUCUCAAGGUUUCCCAUUGUUCCAUGUUUUCUCCAUUUAGUGAAUAAAGGGUUUUAGGAUCUGA